GCCUUCCAAGGGUAAAUUGACCCGUUCUGCUUCGGGACCUACAAAAAUACCAUGCAGGGAAACUUACGGAAGUUAUGGGAAAAAUGGUGAUGUAACAGAACAUAAUUAGAAGAUCGUCGUGAUUAUUAGAUAAUGAUUGCCCGCAAAUAUAUUUAAUUAUAUGUUUUAAACUUGAGGAAGAACUGCAUAAUGUAUGCAAACGUGAAUUACGUAAG